GACGAACGCUGGCGGCGUGCUUAACACAUGCAAGUCGAGCGGUAAGGCUCCUUCGGGAGUACACGAGCGGCGAACGGGUGAGUAACUCGUGAGCAAUCUGCCCUUCACACGGGGAUAACCCUCGGAAACGAGAGCUAAUACCCGAUACGACCACUUCAGGCAUCUGAUGGUGGUGGAAGGUUCCGGCGGUGAAGGAUGAGCUCGCGGCCUAUCAGCUUGUUGGUGGGGUAACGGCCCACCAAGGCAACGACGGGUAGCCGGCCUGAGAGGGUGACCGGCCACACUGGGACUGAGACACGGCCCAGACUCCUGCGGGAGGCAGCAGUGGGGAAUAUGGGACAAUGGGCGAAAGCCUGAUUCAGCAACGCCGCGGGAGGGAUGACGGCCUUCGGGUUGUAAACCUCUUUCAGCAGGGACGAAGCGCAAGUGACGGUACCUGCAGAAGAAGCACCGGCCAACUACGUGCCAGCCGCCGCAGUAA
rnacentral:rRNA from 1 species